AUUGAACGCUGGCGGCAGGCCUAACACAUGCAAGUCGAACGAGUGGCGGACGGGUGAGUAAUGUCUGGGAAACUGCCUGAUGGAGGGGGAUAACUACUGGAAACGGUACCUAAUACCGCAUACUAUCAGAUGAGCCCAGGUCGGAUUAGCUAGUUGGUGGGGUAAAGGCCUACCAAGGCGACGAUCCGUAACUGGUCUGAGAGGAUGAUCAGUCACACUGGAACUGAGACACGGUCCAGACUCCUACGGGAGGCAGCAGUGGGGAAUAUUGGACAAUGGGCGAAAGCCGGAUCCAGACAUGCCGCGUGUGUGAAGAAGGGCUUCGGAUUGUAAAGAACUUUAAGUUGGGAGGCGUUACCAAAAGAAUAAGCACCGGCUAACUUCGUGCCAGCAGCCGCGGUAAUAC
rnacentral:rRNA from 1 species